GCCGAACCGUACGAACGUUAUUCGGAAUCACUGGGCUUAAAGGGUGCGUAGGCGGCGCGACAAGUUGGGUGUGAAAUCCCUCGGCUCAACCGAGGAACUGCGCCCAAAACUGUCGUGCUCGAGGGAGACAGAGGUGAGCGGAACUUAGGGUGGAGCGGUGAAAUGCGUUGAUAUCCUAAGGAACACCGGUGGCGAAAGCGGCUCACUGGGUCUCUUCUGACGCUGAGGCACGAAAGCUAGGGUAGCGAACGGG
rnacentral:rRNA from 1 species